AAACCACGAUAGGUCACGAUUUCUGGAAUGGAUCAUGGCUUAAAUCUACAUGGCCCCUGGAUUGGACUGCGGCCGAUCAGGCUGUUGGUGAGGUAAUGGCCCACCAAACCUAUAACCGGUACGGGCUCUGAGAGGAGAAGCCCGGAGAUGGGCACUGAGACAAGGGCCCAGGCCCUAUGGGGCGCAGCAGGCGCGAAACCUCUGCAAUAGGCGAAAGCCUGACAGGGUUACUCUGAGUGAUUUCCGCUAAGGGGAUCUUUUGGCACCUCUAAAAAUGGUGCAGAAUAAGGGGUGGGCAAGUCUGGUGUCAGCCGCCGCGGUAAUACCAGCACCCCGAGUGGUCGGGACGAUUAUUGGGCCUAAAGCAUCCGUAGCCGGUUCUGCAAGUCUUCCGUUAAAUCCAGCCGCUCAACGGAUGGGCCGCGGAGGAUACUACAGGACUAGGAGGCGGGAGAGGCAAGCGGUACUCAGUGGGUAGGGGUAAAAUCCUUUGAUCCAUUGAAGACCACCAGUGGCGAAGGCGGCUUGCCAGAACGCGCUCGACGGUGAGGGAUGAAAGCUGGGGGAGCAAACCGGAUUGGAUACCCGGGUAGUCCCAGCUGUAAACGAUGCAGACUCGGUGAUGGGCUAGCCUUGUGCCAGCCCAGUGCCGC
rnacentral:rRNA from 1 species